GUACUUUUGUUUAUUAGCAACGGCAAAGCCAUCACUAUAACUCUUAAAUUUUAAAUAUUUAUUUUCUUAAUAUAAAUUAGUUAUUAAUAAUGGCUUUAGCGAAGUAGCUUUAGCCGUUGCUAAUAUAGAGCCCUAAAAUUCCCUCCAUUCCCGAUCGAAUUUUUUUUACUACGCGCCCGCAUCCCCAUUCUUCCCCUACCUUCAGUCCACUUGCUUCCGCCACCGUACCAUCGAAGCCCCCAUCCCCAUGCUCUAGUCCAUGCGCAUGCCGCUAUCCCAACAUUGGAUCUGUGGGCUCCAUGUCGGAUCAGACGUCCUCGUGCCCCCACCACUCCCUUCUUCUCUGCCUCCCCCAUUCUUCCCAUCGAAAGCCUACUGGAGCUCCCAUCCCCGUGCCCCAGUCCCUGUGCCACCAUCUCCGCAUUGGAUCUACCAUCCUCCACAUCAAAUCUGCCAUCCCCGUCAUCCCCAGU
rnacentral:lncRNA from 1 species